rnacentral:rRNA from 1 species
CCUACGGGUGGCAGCAGUAGGGAAUAUUGGUCAAUGGACGCAAGUCUGAACCAGCCAUGCCGCGUGCAGGAAGACGGUUCUAUGAGUUGUAAACUGCUUUUGUACGAGGGUAAACGCAGAUACGCGUAUCUGGCUGAAAGUAUCGUACGAAUAAGGAUCGGCUAACUCCGUGCCAGCAGCCGCGGUAAUACGGAGGAUUCAAGCGUUAUCCGGAUUUAUUGGGUUUAAAGGGUGCGUAGGCGGUCGGAUAAGUUAGAGGUGAAAUCCCGAGGCUCAACUUCGGAAUUGCCUCUGAUACUGUUCGGCUAGAGAGUAGUUGAGGUAGGCGGAAUGUAUGGUGUAGCGGUGAAAUGCUUAGAGAUCAUACAGAACACCGAUUGCGAAGGCAGCUUACCAAGCUACUUCUGACGUUGAGGCACGAAAGCGUGGGGAGCAAACAGGAUUAGAUACCCCUGUAGUC